UACGUAGGGGGCAAGCGUUGUCCGGAAUCAUUGGGCGUAAGCGCGUGUAGGCGGCUCGGUAAGUCUGCUCUGAAAGCCUGGGGCUCAACCCUGGGAGGCGGGUGGAUACUGCUGAGCUCGAGUCCGGAAGAGGCGAGUGGAAUUCCUGGUGUAGCGGGUGAAAUGCGCAGAUAAUCAGGAGGAACACCAAUGGCGAAGGCAGCUCGCUGGGACGGUACUGACGCUGAGACGCGAAAGCGUGGGGAGCAAACAGG
rnacentral:rRNA from 1 species